rnacentral:rRNA from 1 species
GUCUCUUUGAAUAUUUUUAAUGAAGAGUUGGGCCUGCUCAGUGAUUGAAUAUUAAACAGCUGCGGUAUUUUAACUGUACUAAGGUAGCAUAAUAAUUUGCCUUAUAAAUUAAGGCUAGAAUGAAUGGUUUGACGAAAAUUAUACUGUCUCUAGUUUAAUUAUUAGAAGUUAAUUUUUAUAGUGAGAAAGCUUAAAUAGUUUAAAGGGACGAAAAGACCCUAUUGAGCUUUAUAUUAUAUGUUAAAGUUGUAAAUUGUAUUUAUUUAAUGUAAUUUUGGUUGGGGUGAUCAAGGAAUAAAAAUUAGUUUAUUAACUUCCUUAAUAAAAUUAAUAUAUAUGUAUUAAUAAACCAAUGAUUUUGCUUAGAAGAUAAGUUACCAUAGGGAUAACAGCGUAAUUUUUUUUGAAAGUUCUUAUUGAAAAAAGAGAUUGCGACCUCGAUGUUGGAUUAAAAUAACCUUAAGGUGUAGAGGCUUUAAUUGGUAAAUCUGUUCGAUUUUUAAAAUUUU